GCUCCAAUAGCGUAUAUUUAAGUUGCUGCAGUUAAAAAGCUCGUAGUUGGAUUUCGGGCGGGUGACGACGGUCCGCCUCUGGUGUGCACUGCCGUUCAUCCGCCUUUCUGUCGGGGACGUGCUCCUUGGCUUCACUGUCAGGGACACGGGUUCGACGAGGUUACUUUGAGUAAAUUAGAGUGUUCAAAGCAGGCAUCGCC
rnacentral:rRNA from 1 species